CGCCGCCCGCCGCGGGCAGCAGCGCCGUGAGGGGCUGCCCCGUUCCCAGGCCCUGCCGUUACCUGGGAGAGCCGGGGGUUCUGAUGUCUGCCAGGUGGCAUCCCAGGUGGGAUGGGAUCUGUGGACAUGUAUUUCAGGUAGCCAUCAGCAGCACCAAGGAAAGAGCCACUCCCAUGAGCGAUAUAAUUUCACAAAUCCACAAAACAAACAAGUCGCCAUUCUGCAAAACCCUCAUACCUAUGGAAUGCUCAUUUCCUGCGAGGUGUGGAUUUCAGCUAUUUUUAACCUGGAUGUGUUCUGUGAUUUGUUUCCCACACAGCACAGAAACUGGCACAGCUGAGGGGUAGGCAGCGAUGAAGUUGCACCAGGAAGUCCAAGGAGAAUCAGGAGACACUUCAGGGCUUUGAGACAAUUGAUUAAGGGAUCUGGACCACAGGUUCAUCAUAGCCACCACAAUACUGCUGCUGCGGAGCUCCCCAGAAUGUCUGGCCCUCUCAGUACCUGGCACAGUGAGCAGAGGUUGUAGGGCUGCUGUCUGCCGGGCAGGAAAGGGCAUAGCUUUAAUUCCUGUUGGCUCAGUCACAUUAGCUCAACAUGACUGAAAAUUCCUCUUCACCUCUUGAAACACAAAAGUGAAUGUGGCUCUACACUGGAAUCUUCCACCCUUGUAAUCUCCUGUCAUGCAAUAUUUUAAAUUCUUAUUUGACUGAUGCUGAAGAUGGAGAGUAUUAGUUACCUUCCAUGACCACUCUGGCCACAAUGACUUCCUUUGCUUGGCAAGCUGAUUACUUUGACAAGGUUAAUGUUAAGUCUAUCUGGAGUAUCUCUGUGUGUCUUGUGCAAGAUUGCAGCUGCAAGCUGGUUUCUUAUUGAACAUGCAGUUUCUCCAGAGACAGAAUAUAUCUUUGAAGGGAUAUUUCCCCCCCACUUUUUCCUCCUGAGAAUGAUGUUGCUGCAGUUUAUACCAAUAAGAUUUAGAUGGCUGUAUCUCUGAAUUUGACAAGCUAGUGGAUGGCAAGCAAACCCAACUGAUGAAAUUCCAUUGAUAAAGAAAAUUCUCAUCCUAGCAACUACCUAGAAAAGUCCACAAGUAGAGAUUAAGAGUUAAUAACUGCUGCACCAAGUCUGCCAAAGCUGCUGGGGAUGUGACCAACAGACACUUCUGUGGAGCCAAAGAAUCACUGAAGUGUCUGCUCCCUGCUGCCCUUCAUCAGCAGGUUUGGAAGAGCAGCAUCUCAAGAGAGCGAUGGGGCAGAUGGACUCCCCAAAGUACCAGUUACAGGCAGUAGGGACCAGUCAGGGGCUCUUGUGACAGCGUUGCAAAACCUGGCUUAGCACUACAUAGACUCAUUAAAGUAGGAAAGAAACUUCCAGUCAGUUGUCACUGGGGUUGGUGUCUCAGGUUGCCGCUGGUAUGAGAGUCCCUAGCCCCGCUUCACAGAGCCAGUGCAUGGGGCAGGAUCCAGGUGUAUAUCUGCUCGCCAAAGGGGCUGUAGGCAGAAUCAAACUUUGCCAUGCACAAGCCACCUCCAGAGACCGUCAAAUGUUCAUAUCCUGUAUGAUCCCUAAAAGAGGCCAGACAGCAACUGCAGCAGGGAAGCUGUAACAUAAAUAGUGCCUUCAGAUUGCACACUGGAUAUAGUUGAGACACAAUAGCAAAAGUCAAGUAAAUGAAAUGUAUUUCUUAGCAGUCCCUGAGAGUGAACAGGUUGUGUUUGUGAGCUGCAAGCCACGUCAAGUGGGGUGGAUCUUCCACAGAGAAAUUGCUGCCUCUGGCAAGAAAAUAUCCUUGUAAGAAGGUAAGAAAAACAUCCACAUUUCUCUUAAUUCUUUCUAGAUGGUACAUUAUGAGCAACUAUAGAUAUUAAGAGUUCAGGGAACAUUACUAAGCAACACAAAGAACAGAAAACUGUGUGUAUUUUCUGAGAAGAUUGGGGGGAAAGUCUUGUGCCACUGAAUGAUUUGGGAAUAAGCAUAAUAAAAAUAAGUCCUAAUAGCUGCAGUAGCCAAAUGUCACCUGGGACCAGCGUGCGAACAAUUAUUUUGUAAUAUUAUUUGGUGAAUGUCUCAACAUCUUGAGGUCAUUGCAGCAUAGAAAAGAAAAGGUUGGCCAGUGUUGUUUCCUGGUGGAACAUUUAUUUCUCUAACCCUGUGUGGUGGUAUCUGGCCAUCUUGGAUAGGUGAGGGGUCAGGUCAAAGGAAAGCAAGGUGUAGACAUGGUUUUCAAAGGCACCUAUUUCCAGUGGGUGUGAACCUCAUUUACUGUUAGGAAUAAAUCUUUUCCUGGCAUAUUGUAACAGAAACAGUAAAAUAAACAAAAGUAUGAUAUACUUUGUAAGAUGAGGCAAGCAUUUGUAAGAGGUACCUUUGUUAGAUGUACCUCAGGGCUACACUGCCCACAGGCAAACCAGCUCUGGGUGCUGUGUGAGCACUGAGAACAAAUGCUGGGCUGCUCUCUUCUCAAGCAGAUGCUGUCCUGAGGAUUCUCUCCUCACAGGAGGAAGAAUAAAAAGCAGCUUUUACCAUCCAAGUGCAUGACAUUCCUGCUUCUCCUGGGUAGAAAAGAAAGGGAGUCCUUUUCCCCUCUGCCUGCGAGGGAAGGAAGCACUGACUAUUGGUGUGAGGGGCAAGGAGCUGUCUCAGGGCAGAGCUUGUUCUCCACAGGGAGCUGCCCCAGCCAUUCCCUGCCCCAGCCCAGGAUGCGGGGAUGCCCUGGCCUGCCCCUCCCAGGCUCCCCCUCUACUCUGUAGCUCCGAGCUCUGCCACUUUCCAUCCUUGGAAAGGCAGAGGCGGGGGAGCAGGCUCCCAGCAGCUCCAGAGGAGCAGAGGGUCUCCAUCGGGGCUCUCUCCUUGUAGGAGAUGAAGACAUCACUGCCGUAAGGGCUGCAGGCAGGAGCAGCCCCCAGCCUCCCCCUGCAGCCGGCAGCGCUCUGCUUUUCCCCGUGUUUAUUGUCUGACGUCUGUUUUGCUGUGUCUCCCUGCAGGCGGGGAGCCAGGAGGGCUGGCUCUCGGGACACCUCCUCCUGGUGGGCUGCCAAGGACGGUGGCAGAGCCCUCCCGCCCAGGGCGGUGGCCCCGGGCUCACGGCACCGUUCGCUGCUCGCCCGAGCCUCCCUGCCAGCACAGACCUACUUCUGCCGCAGAGCCAAGGCUGGCGGCUUCGAAAAAAAUCACAGCUCCAUUGUGCUCCAAAGUCAUACUGAAUGAUUCAGAUGAAAAGAAAAACCCACGUCAGAAGGAACAGGGGACUCAAAGACGAGUGUCGAGGCCAGCAGUCCAGGGACAUCGAUCCCAGGCAGCGGCACAUCCUGAGAAUGUUGCACCCUGUGACAGCAGCAGCUCUGUCCUGUGGGUCUGUGGAAGACAAGUAUUAGGGGUCCCGGUAUUAGGGGUGUCCCCACCUGGCCCAUCGAUUGCCUGGGGGUGGUGGGGCAGCAGGACAAGCCUCCUGUCCAGCUGUGGGGCACAGAUCCAGCCCCCAGCAGCUGGGGGAGGUGAACUCCCUCCUUGCUCCCGGAGCUGCCAGCGCUGGAGGUCAGGCAGGGCAGGAGGAAGGGGCAGGGAGCGCUGACAGAGACAGUGUUGCCAUCACCCAACAUCUGGUGCCAAUGCUCCCCAAAAAUAGAUCACUUCCUUCUUCCACCUCGAAGGAAACAGUGUUGGAAGGAGUCUCAGAUACAGCAGGGCUGGUGCAAGGAGGGGUCUCGUUCCCUGGCAGCCUCCCACCGGGAGCCGCUUCCACAUCCCGGGGUGUGACUCUGGGACCACACAUCAGUCUCAGGCAGGUUCCAAGGGAUUAGUCCUGCGAAACGCCCCGAUGACCCACGUGGGUGCCGAGCCUCUCAGCUCCCUGGAGCAGAAACCCACCAGCACUUUCCAUCGGUGGCUGGUAUUGCAAAACCAGCCCCUCUGUACCCAAAAGCUGCGCCAGUGCCAAGGGGCUCAGGCUGUGAUCUGCCCUCACCUGCGUUUUCCAGUUCCAUUUUUACAUUACAGAGCUGCUUCACAGCAUCUUCCUUAUUGGCAGGCGUCAGGAGAAAUGUGUGUCAACAAAUCUGAAGCGAGCGUAAGCUCUGCUACAGUCAAGUCUGAUUAUAAAACAUGAGUCACUGUUAUUCAAUCACUUACCAGCGCACGGCUUGCAAGAAAGUUCUCUCUUCUAGGAAUCACCACCACACAAAUUUCAGAGUUGUUUUAAAGAACACCCUGAUUUUCCUUUUAACUGCGUGGCUGUUUUCAGAGGGCUGGCUCCUGCUAUCCCUACUUGGCCCCUGCUCCCUCUGCAUUUCAGAGCCAGGUGAGGCACCCAGCCCAGGCAUGACCUGAUGAUCCUCCCAGCAGUUUUCAGCACCAGGAGUGAACAGGCAGUAAGGAGGGGGCUGCUGGGACUGCCCCCCACAGUUGCCAUCAGUGCCCCCCACACCAUCUGUAGGGCUGCUGGCCAAUGUUCAGGGGAUGCACAUUUUUCCCCUCGGCUGGGAUGAGGAAGAGUGUGGUCAACCCCAGCAUUUUGGCAAGGGAGACUUUUUCCCAUAUAAAGGUAUUAUUUUCAUUGUUUUCUUACAUUUCAGUUUGGGAAGGAGCAGGAGGGGUCAGGGAUGUCUUCCCAGACAUUUCUUCAAAACUGUUUUUAUCCCUGGUAACAAAUGCCACUGCCAAACACAGCAGCACACGUCCUCGGUUUCCCCUCCGUAAGUCUGAUUUUUUGAAUGGCUUCUUGGAAAAAGCAUUUACAUGGUGACCUCUUGCUGCUGUAAGAUGUGCAGGGAGAUGGGUCCUUUCCAGGCAUUCAAGCUGCAGUGCUUGGUCUUUUCCUGUUUUUACUGAGGAACUUUUGGGAGGUCAGAAAUACAUGAAUUGAGCUUUUGCUGCCUUAAUAGGUGAAAGGCUGCUGGAAGCACGUGGAUAAACUUCCUCUGUGCCAAAUGACCAUCAUUUAAGUCAAACACUUUUUAACAAUAGAAGCAAAAUUUUAAAAGGUGUAGUUAGAAAAACCCCCACAUUUGCCUGUCUGUCCUCCUUGUUCUGUGCUGCUCUGCCUCUUGCUGCUUAGCUUGAUCUCCUGCAUUCCUGCUGCAGGGAAGGUUUGAGCUUCUGAUGUGGCAAACAGGUAGACUAAGCUAAUUUAUCGCUCAAGUCUUUUAUUCCAUCACAGAGUGGCAAAAGGGAAGGCUCGACUCUCUUGUGGGUCACCUCUAAUGGCAAUUGCUUCAGCAAGAUGGAUUUCAAAAUUAGGUGCUCUCGAAGCAGAAGCCACGCUGUAUUUUUCAACAGCACAAAGCAGCGUAAGAGGAAUCUGACCUUCAUUCUUCAUAAUAAAUUCACUGGGGAAAAGAAAAAUCCAUCUUUGUUUUUCAGCUUGAAGUACUGUCAAAAGAAAAGCCAGGGCACACACAACAUACACAAAAUAAAAAUACAAGACAACUUCAGCAAAAAGAUAAAAAAAUCAGAGAUUUACUUUUCCUGCUUUUCCUUAAAAAUUGGAAUAGAGUCUGACAGCCUGUCUGCAAGUACAUUGUUUUGGAAUAAAAGCUGCUGUUAAUUUAAAGUGGAUCUAUACUAGGCUAAAUUAAGACCACCUCAAAGCAGUUUUCAGAUGUAGAGUGCAAUCGAAUAGCUAAGUCUGGGAAAAAGUUUAUCAAUACACACCCACAUUUCAGCACUCCAUUGGACUUAGCAUGUUUGUAAAACAUCUCUGAAUGCAUUUCAGGUGCUAAAAUAAUGUCUGCUGCAGCCUGCCAAAGGAAAAUGUCACAGCUAUUUUCUGCUGAAGCGCCCCAAAAAGAUGUGAGCUGCAGUCAAAUAUAGACUUGUAAGCUGAAAACUAUAGUGGAGGAAUGCUUGAAAAUAUUUGGUAUUUUACUGUAAUUAAUAAAAUGAUCAGUACAUUUGAGUCCUGAAAGCCUGUAGCUGGUCAGCCGCCACUGGCACAACCUGGAAAUGGUUAAAAUUGUCUCCUGUAUUGAACACUAUCUUUGUAUUUUGCCAUGUCUCCAUUACAGAUUUUGUAUUGAAUAACUCAUAACUAAACGCAGCACCUUGCCUUUAUUCCUUUAAUCUUGUCAGGCAUAGCUGGGAAGGCAGAAUGGGAAUGUUUAUUCUAACUAGCAGGUCUAACCCUUAGGCUAGCAAGAAUUAGAAGAGGUUUUUUCCAAGCUCGGCUCUUCUCCCAUCCAGAGAACCUAACGCUCCUCUUCUGGAGGAGUCACUCAAAUUCAUCUUCCCACUUUCUAGCAAGCCUAGACCCAGCUGUUAUUCAGCCUUUUUUCCUUCAGGAUGGGCUGGUUACACUGAUAAAAGCAACUGUAAAGAGGCUCAGUGUCAGCAGUGCCCUAAUUAAGCUACAGAAAUAAGCCACUUCACACCCCUUAGUUCAGGUUUCCAGGGGCCUGUUUGCCUGGACAGGAACAUUUUGUUAAAUAAGCUCAGCUUUUUGCUAGAGCUGGUGUGAUGACUGAAAGCUCAGCAGAAGGGAUGAACACUGUCCAUACAUUUCAUUAAACUAGCUUAAAAUUACAGAGCAUAUCUAGGUGGUUGCAACUGCAACUCUUUUCAGGACCAACUCGAGAUGAACAACAAUAAAAAUCAGUCUGGCUUAAUUUGGUAUUCAAGUUCUCUCCAGACCAAUCAAUUUUUUGCUGUUCAGAAAAGUCCUUUCUUUACCUCUACAACAAGCAUUUAUGUGAAGGUUAAAGCCGUAGGAGAUGCUUUUUGAUGGUGAUGUCAGUGUUGUCAGUUCCCCUGUAGGGAACCACUACUUAAAUGGUCCCAAUUUCAUCGCUCAUUAUCCCUCUUCUACAGCAAGCACCCACUUUUAAAGAUCACAGGGAAGCAGAUUCAAGCUGAAGUGUCAGCAGUAACUACUGACCUGGAUCAAGGAAUCUUGGAGUGGCCAAGUCUGACCUAUCAGUAAGACUCAUAGUUUUGACCAAGAGGAUUAUUUAAACAUUGGAGCUAGCAGGGGAGCACAGCUGUGGAACAAGGAGGUCCUUUCCAGCAACAACCCUCAGCAGCUCUUCCUUAAAAAGGGGAAUUCAUCUGCCUCUGGCACUCCUCUUCACCAAAGAACACUUCCACUGUUCCAGAACAGUUUUACAGUAGACAAAAGCGAAGGCUUUGGUCCUGAUAUCCACGUGCCAGCUCAGCUGAAUUACAGGCGCGUACCGAGUGCUCCCGAGAAAACCAUAGCCGCUCUGGAGAGCUGGGGAAGCUUUGGAGCAUCUCCCACCCCACCCCAGCCUCGGCAGGGAGAUACAGGGGCUUCUUGUCCUCAGUAAGCAGCAUUGAUAAUUACGUUACCUACCCUCUUCAGCCUCGAGCACGCUCUGUUAGUUACCAGUGCUAAAGUCAAAGGUGAGGCUAAGGCCGUGCCUGGCUGCCAGGGAAGCACUCACUACUCAUCUCAAGUUCAGCUGAAUCCUCUAGGUUACUUCUGCCAACACCAAGCACCGAGAACAAAGGCACAAGAUUAUGGGGAUCUCAUUAAGUAUACUUGUUCCAAGAACAAGAAAUGUGUCUACUUUCUUCUGAUGACCUGGGGAAACAAAAAAACCCUUCAGCACACAAAAUUUAUUUGUCAUCAGUUAAGAGCAUUUGAAUGUGCAAUAUCCAGUUUAAGGAGACAAAAAAGUCUGUCUGUCCUACCCUUUCAAGACCUUGCAAACAGCAUCAUUCUUCUGCUUGAAACAGAAAGCAGGGAUGUAUGUAUCUGAGAACACCAACACACACAAAAACCCCCAAAUCCUUAGGGUAUUAAGUGAGCCAUUUAACUAAGUAUUUAAAACCUCUGCAAUUAUUAGUUUAUUAGUAUCAUCCAGGAUUUCAGAUGUUCAAUAUUUCUCCUGAAGUUAUACAUAAAUGCAAAUUGAAAUAAGAAUCUGAAAGUCAAAAUUGUAUAACAAAACAAUACUCCAUCACAAAAGCGUGUAAAAUUACAAGAAUGCUUUUUUUUGUUUGUUUUUAAACACUGGCACUUAAGAGAACCAUAAUUUUGUAACCACAAAAUUGCCGAAUUGUCCCCCAAACUGGUAAGCAGGUAUAUGUGAAAAUAGUUACAGCUGCCAGCACUUGAAGUUUUACUAAAUAUGCAAAAAACCCCUUUUAGCUUUGGUUUUGGAAGAGAACUGUAUUUGACCAAAUUAGACAUUGUUGGUAAUACCAUAAACAUUUAACUUUUUAAUGCAAAAUUUAAUAAAAUGUACUUUUCCAUACAACUAUAUUUAACUUAAAAAUGGGCAAACAUCAAGAGUGCGGUAUAAAACCUAACAGGAAAAAUACAUCUUAUCUCAUUUUCAAUUUGAGACAAUAUACAACUUUGUUUAAAGGGCUAAAACUAGAAUUUCAAGAAUACAAAUAUGAAUUUACAUAGAUUUAACAAAUAAUAAUGGUACCAUUUAUAGAAAUCUUAGAAAGAAAAAUCAUUUCUUGUGGGCCCUUUGCUACCAGGAGUCUCAUGGUAUUAAGCCCGUGGCCAUCACCAGACCUGUCACCAAAAAAUAAUAUGGUCAUUUCAAUGCUUUUAACUUUACACAUUUUAGGUACGCUCAUCACUCCCAGGUGUUCAGAGAUUUACAAAUAUAACUUCCAUUACAUGGUAACAGAGUCACACGUGUAAAUUUCUCUACACCAGAUGGACAUACACUCUUCCUAUGGGUCCUUCUAGGACAAAAUUUAACAUUCCCUCCCUCCCCACCCCCCCAAAGUAUUUAGUUUCUGUAAAAUUGAACUCUAUACUUCUCAACUCUCCAAGACUGGUAAACUCAUGCAACGCAAUAGAAUAUUACAUUUCACAAAAAUCUGAACAAGUAUCCGUUUGCUGAGAUUGAAUUUUGUUGUUUCCAGUUAUGGAAGAAUAUUUUCAUCAUAUGCCUAUAUAUUUCUUUUCUUACCCUAUCAUGAUAAUGCAGGGUAUGCAGAUCAAAGCUUUGUUUAUCAGCUGGUUAUAUGAAAGAUGAAAACUGUAAUAUUCCCGUGAUCCCAUACGGGCAUUCAAUAAAGCAAAAGAUGAGUUCCCCUCAAAAAAAAAAAAGAAUUAAAAAAAAAAAAAAAAGUAUGAUUCUCAAGGGCACCUAUUAAAAGGACAACAAUACUAAUAAAAAAAAAAUUGUAUUUACUUAGAAGCAUUCAGAAUGUCAACAAAACAGCUGCAACUUUUUUUUCUUCCUUUUUGCAAUUACAGAGUGGUAUUCAGUUAACAGAACAACAAUUAUUUUUAUGAUGCAUCAGAGACAACUGAAGAUGAGAAA